ensembl:lncRNA
GUAUGAUCCUACUGCAGUGACUGAAAAUUAUCACCUUGACAUUUUUGACACAUUGGCAUGAUAGAAGAAAGAGAUGUGGAAGUCUGUUGUUUUAUGGAGGUUUGCAGCCCACAUGCUUAUUACCAAAAGCUUCAGAUAUAUGUGGGUGUAGCGUACAACUUUGACUGCUUUGGCCGAAUGUUCUGGACUGUUGAAGUCUUCCGACGAUAGAAGCAAAGGAGAAACCCCAUCACUUUCUGCGGGGAAAACUGUCCUGCUGGAAGAGUAUGGAACAAUAUAACUGAAGCUGUAUUUAACUACUGCUUUGGAAUCUAGUACUGCACAGCUCUAUGUAAUCCUCCAGGCACUUUAAUCAGAGACAAAUUUCACCUACCAUGUCCAGCAAAUUCCUUCCUUUGACUUCUGAAAACUGCUGAUAAGCGUGUCAUUUAUUAUGGCAUUUGGCACCACACUCACAAAAACCAUUCAGGAGCCAUUUCAUAUCAAAGUGGGCAAUCGUACACCGUCAUUUCAGAUGGAAACCACAGGUCAUGUUGCCAGAUGGACCAAAAGAAGCGGUGAACAAAAAUAGCCUUUGAAUUUGAUGAGCAUACUGACGUGACCAGAACUCUCAUAAAUAUGCCCAUGAGCAGGCAUUGGCUCUGCCAUCUAUCGCACAAUGGAGAAUAGACAAACCUUGCACGAAGUUCUUCAAAAGAUUACAUUUGCUCUGCUUUCAUCCAACGCUGAAUAAGAUUUACAGUAUUUGGGAUGAAGAUAUUCAGCAGGCAACAUUUUGGCAAAAACUGAGGAGAGAAGCAUUUUCUUCUUGAGAAAAUGCCAACAAGUACAUAAUUUUAUAACUUCAGCUCGUGUUUCCAAGUAUCUCUGAGCAGAGCACAUUUGUGAACAAAUAUCUGUUGAUUGUACCUUUACUCACAAGAAUAAAUCUCU